rfam:Candidatus Amesbacteria bacterium RIFCSPLOWO2_01_FTLL_48_25 rifcsplowo2_01_scaffold_7252, whole genome shotgun sequence.
GCUCCCUUAGCUCAACGGACAGAGUAAUGGAUUCCGGAUCCAUUGAUGGGCGUUCGAUUCGCCCAGGGAGCA